rnacentral:rRNA from 1 species
GACGAACGCUGGCGGCGUGCUUAACACAUGCAAGUCGAACGGAAAGGCCCUGCUUUUGUGGGGUGCUCGAGUGGCGAACGGGUGAGUAACACGUUAGUAACCUGCCCUUGACUUUGGGAUAACUUCAGGAAACUGGGGCUAAUACCGGAUAGGAGCUCCUGCUGCAUGGUGGGGUUUGGAAAGUUUCGGCGGUUGGGGAUGGACUCGCGGCUUAUCAGCUUGUUGGUGGGGUAGUGGCUUACCAAGGCUUUGACGGGUAGCCGGCCUGAGAGGGUGACCGGCCACAUUGGGACUGAGAUACGGCCCAGACUCCUACGGGAGGCAGCGGUGGGGAAUAUUGCACAAUGGGCGGAAGCCUGAUGCAGCAACGCCGCGUGCGGGAUGACGGCCUUCGGGUUGUAAACCGCUUUCGCCUGUGACGAAGCGUGAGUGACGGUAAUGGGUAAAGAAGCACCGGCUAACUACGUG